rnacentral:rRNA from 1 species
AUUAAAGUUGUUGCAGUUAAAAAGCUCGUAGUUGGACUUGUGUGCGCUGUCCGCGGGUGGCCUGCGCCCAAAAGGGCGUUUCGGUUCGGCCCCGGUGGCGCCUUGAAAUCUGCAGCUGGGGGGACGUUGGCCUUAACUGGUCGGCGACCGCACGCCGGCUGCUCGGUUACUGUGAGAAAAUUAGAGUGUUCAAGGCAGGCAUUGGGUGCAAUUGAAUACAUUAGCAUGGAAUAAUAAAAUAUGGCUCCUGCCGUAUUUUGUUGGUUUUGACUGGUGGGAGUAAUGAUUGAUAGGGACGGUUGGGGGUGCUAGUAUUGAGCGGCCAGAGGUGAAAUUCAUGGAUUCGCUCAAGACUAACUUAUGCGAAAGCAUUCACCAAGGACGUCCUCUUUAAUCAAGAACGAAAGUUGGGGGAUCGAAGACGAUCAGAUACCGUCGUAGUCUCAACCAUAAACUAUGUCGACUUGGGAUCGGCGGUAGUUUUUUCAUUAAGACACUGUCGGGACCACGGGAGAAAUCAAAGUGUCUGGACUCUGGGGGAAGUAUGGUCGCAAGGCUGAAACUUGAAGGAAUUGACGGAAGGGCACCACCAGGAGUGGAGCCUGCGGCUUAAUUUGACCCAACACGGGGAAACUUACCAGGUCCAGAGAUGUAGAGGAUUGACAGAUUGAAGCUCUUUCUUGAUCACUUCGGUGGUGGUGCAUGGCCGUUCUUAGUUGGUGGAGUGAUUUGUCUGGUUAAUUCCGUUAACGAACGAGACCUCAGCCUGCUAGUGUAGUCGGCUGGAUUGCCUUUGGCGAUCCGUGAUUUCGACUUCUUAGAGGGACAAUCGACGCGCAGUCGAUGGAAGUUUGAGGCAAUAACAGGUCUGUGAUGCCCUUAGAUGUUCUGGGCCGCACACGCGCUACACUGCUGGGCUCAGCGAGUUUUACUUGGCCGAGAGGCCCGGUUAAUCUUGUGAAAUCCCAGCGUGCUUGGGCUCGCCUCCUGCAACUGGAGGCGCCAACGAGGAAUUCCUAGUAGACGCAGGUCAUCAACCUGCAUCGAUUACGUCCCUGCCCUUUGUACACACCGCCCGUCGUUCCAUAAGAGUGAGGCAUCCGGUGAAUUCUCGGGAGAGCCUGGGCGUGGCCAGCAAUGGUCUGCUCGGGUUUGAACUUGCAUAAACUUGGUGCCUAUGAUUAGGG